CCUACGGGAGGCAGCAGUAGGGAAUAUUGCUCAAUGGGGGAAACCCUGAAGCAGCAACGCCGCGUGGAGGAUGAAGGUUUUCGGAUUGUAAACUCCUUUUGUUAGAGAAGAUAAUGACGGUAUCUAACGAAUAAGCACCGGCUAACUCCGUGCCAGCAGCCGCGGUAAUACGGAGGGUGCAAGCGUUACUCGGAAUCACUGGGCGUAAAGGGCGCGUAGGCGGGAUAGCAAGUGAGAUGUGAAAUCCUAUGGCUUAACCAUAGAACUGCAGUUGAAACUGUUAUUCUAGAGUAUGGGAGAGGUAGGUGGAAUUCUUGGUGUAGGGGUAAAAUCCGUAGAGAUCAAGAGGAAUACUCAUUGCGAAGGCGACCUGCUAGAACAUAACUGACGCUGAUGCGCGAAAGCGUGGGGAGCAAACAGGAUUAGAUACCCGGGUAGUC
rnacentral:rRNA from 1 species